UAUGUGUCUCACAGGUGUGUGUGUGUGUCUCACCAGUGUGUAUGAAGGUGUGUUUCUUCAUGUCAGAUUUCUGGUGGAAUCUCUUGCCGCAGUAUGGACAGGGAAACGGUCGCGUGUCCGAGUGGAUGAGCAGUGCUGCUGAGCACGACCCGGGGAUCCGGCCAAUGGCAGAGCAGCUCCGUUGACAUGUGACUUAUUCAAGUGAGAUGCCAAACCCACCGCAGACGACAGGAGCUGAUAGAACACAUCCGUCAAUAAAUCAUGAGUAAGAUUACUUAUCAGUAGUGAUAGCAGAAAUGAAAACAACAACGAGUGUUCAUUCCUCCUACAUCUUUGAAACCACACAGGCUUUUGAAUAAGGUCAUGUUUCAGUAGAGGAUGUAGAUGAUGUCAUGGCGGUGGUCUCACCUUCUCACAGAGCAAGCACUCACACAGAGACGUCUGGACGUUCAUGAGCUGAUGGACUGCGCUUCUGAGGUCUCCGAGUCAUUACUGGACACCCGUCCAUCAUUCAGGUGAUGCUGAGAGUGGGCGGAGCGUGAGGAGCGAUGCCCCGCCCUCUUACUUUUCACGAGAAAGGACCGUGGCAUUCCC